UGUAAAGAAACUAUUACAUUUCUUCUUUUAAAAAUUAUUUGUCUUUUUAUUAUUUUUAAUCAUGUAUGUCUGCACAUGUCUGUGUGAGAUGUAUGCAGGUGGUGCAUGUCUGUGUGAGGUGUAUGCAGGUGGUGCCCUUAGAGGCCAGAAGCCUGCACUGAGUCCCCUCCCUGGAGCUGGAGUUACAGGCUUUUGUGAGCCAUCUGAGAUGGGUGCUUGGAACCAAACUCAGGGCCUUUGGAAGGGCUGUAUGUGUUCUUAAUGCGCGAGCCAUCUCUUCAAUCUCUGAUUUCUCCUCUUGAAACAAGUGCUUUAGUUUUUAGUUAUUCCAGGUUCAUUAUUAUCACUUCAGCAACCUGCCCGAACAACUUGCUUUACACAACGUGCAAACUUACUCCAAACUUCCGAGGGCUGAACAGUGUGCAUGGAUGUGAAGCAGCCUCUCAUCCUGAAGCGUGGCGGGAACCUCGGAGGAUCCCACGGCGGGCGAGGGUGACCGAGGUGGGGGGCGAACACCCCAGGCAGACAGAGCCUAGUGAGACACUAUUAUUAGAAAGGGAAAGUGGGAGGGAAAGAGAAAAGCGGUAAAGAGACAGAGAGAGGACAGAGAGAAGAGGGAGACAGGAAAAGUCCUGUCUGCCCCAGGGGAACAGUGGGAGAGAGAGAGGGAAAGGGGGCAUAAGUGGGCAGGGUCUGUCUUCUAAAGGGUCCUUUGCAGCUGCCUGCAGACUACCCAACCCUGAGACCCUGGGCUGACCAGGGCACUGCCUUAGUGCAUUCUGCCAGGUGACAGGGGCAGGCCAGCAUAUGCAGGAAUCCUUACACAACUGGGUUAGCUUAUGACAGUAUGUAGGACUUGUGAACCCUGGCAUUGAAAGAGAAGUUUCUUCCCUUAGAUUCUAGCAAGAGUGAUUCAUACAAGUUUUUUUUUGGAAUUCAAAUUGAACUCAUUUAUCAGAACGAACGUCUUGAAAAUCCAAUUAGAAACCCGUGGAACUGCCGAUCAGCUAAUUUAAUCUUCUAUAUAAUAUUUAUAACAAAAAGGAGCAGUCCCUGGUCACCCUUCUCUCUGCUCUCGACACUCAUUCGCAGAGGUAAUUAGUAUCUUCAGGUCUUCACUAGCUUCACCUGGACUUCUCUGCUUGUCUCUGAAUUAUCCACAAAUGUAUCUUUUUCAGUGUUGGAUGAACUAUUGAUUUCCUCCUAUAGACGAAGAUGAUUGAGAUCUCUGUAUAGUUUUCCCUGGAGUUACCUCUCGGUAGUUGUUUUAGGAACCAUGUAACAUACACAUUGUCUUAGUUCCUGUUCUAUUGCUGUCUACUCCAGGGACACUAGUGCCUAUGCUAAGGUAACCAUGUAACAUACACAUUGUCUUAGUUCCUGUUCUAUUGCUGUCUACUCCAGGGACACCAUGACCAAGGACAACUUUAGCAUUGAAUUUGUUGUUCAUAGUUGUAGAGGGCAGUAGAGAUCAUGGCCAUUGUGGCAGGAAGCAGAUAGGUAUGACAUUGUACCAGUAGCUGAGAGAUUUACAUUCUGAUCUGCAGGCAUGGGAGGAGAG
ensembl:lncRNA